GUCACUGAAGAGAUCAAAUCAAGUCCAGCCGCUAGUUCUUGAAAAUGUGUCCGCAGUUUCCAAGUCACAGAACGUACAAGCAAAGAAUGAAGUUGCAGCAGCUGGAUCAGGGAAUUUGGACUGUGUGGAAGACAAGUGGAGUGACUAUAACCGGCAACGACGGGCACCGCAUCAUCACAUACCAUUUAAAACUGACGCUGAGCUAGAAUCAACGGAUUCUGCCACAUACAUUGGCUUGAAGAGAAAUACAGAUGCAACACACCAAAUUCCAACAGUGAAUCAACCUGCAGAAGCAAAUGCUGAACACAAAAGCACAAGUGCUUCACCCACUGUAGCUUUCCUUCAGUAUUUCAUCACAAUAUCAAAGAGGGGCAAUGACAGCCAGAUUGACCUGGAGCGCUUGAACACAUUGCUGGAAAAUGGAGCAGAUAUCAAUUCCACUGACAGAUAUGGACAGGGUGUUUUACACGGG